CUCUACUUUUCUCCCGCCAUUUGUAAAGCAUAAUCCUCUAUCCAUUCCUUUCUCCUCCCGCCAUUGUUGUCUCUUCCACUUCAAUCCUUUUCCCAUUUUGAAAUCUCUCCAUUCCAUUGAAGAAACACCACACGAAACACUAUGAUUAUCGGUGCUUCUAUAUCUUCAGUCGCCGCCCUCCGCCUUCCUUUUUCCUUCCAUUGCUUUCCAACCUCCAAAACCCUCAUUUCUUUCCCUUCUCUAUCCCUCCUUCAUUCUCCAACUUUCCAUAUCUUUUCUUCAAUCACUUCUUCCAUUACUGCCUCGAUGUCCACUUCCUCGUCUCCGACCACAGAGCAGCCGGCUUUAGAUGACAAGAAGCCCGCGCCGCCGCCGAAGCCAUGGCUCAUCGUCGGCCUCGGAAAUCCCGGGAAGAAGUACGAUCGUACGCGCCAUAAUGUAGGUUUUGAGAUGGUGGAUGCUGUAGCUGAAGCUGAAGGGAUAUCCAUCAGUAAUGUUUCCUUCAAAGCUCUGAUAGGGAAGGGUUUCAUCGGGGAUGUUCCUGUAAUGCUAGCUAAGCCACAAACUUUCAUGAAUGCAAGUGGUGAGUCAGUCGGUGCUAUUGUUUCCUACUAUAAGAUUCCAUUGAAGCAAGUACUUGUGAUUUUUGAUGACUUGGAUUUGCCUUUUGCCAAAUUGCGAAUGCUGCCGAAGGGUGGCCAUGGAGGGCAUAAUGGAAUGAGGAGUAUUAUUGAUCAUUUCAAAGGCAGUCGUGAUUUCCCUCGAUUAAGAAUUGGCAUAGGGAGACCUCCCGGGAAAAUGGAUGCAGCAAAUUUUGUUCUUCGCCCCUUCAACAAACAAGAAAGAGAAGAGUUGAACUUUACAUUGCAAGUUGGCGAAGACGCAAUACGGAUUCUUUUGCUUGAGGGGUUCAACAAAAGCGCAACAUUUGUCAAUACCAACAAGUCUCUGGAACAAAUAAGUUGAAAACGUUCAAUAUUUAAACAUUUUUAUAGACUCUAAAAGGACUCCAUUCUGUUUAUUGUAUGUAUCAAACUGCAUUAUACACUGGCUGACUUCGCCACAGUAUCAACUACCAACUUCUGUGGGGUGAAAAGCGUAUUGCAGGAACAAACAAUCAGUGUUUCUGUUGAAUAGCUUCCCUAUGGACUUAUUUGCCUCAUAUGGAGUGCUUCCAAGUAGGUAGAUCUCACAAAAUUUUAAAAAUGUUGGUGAUGGGUUUUAAAACGUACUGAUGAUUUCCUACUAACCAUUUUCUACAAUUCUGUAGUAUUUGGAGUCGAUGAUUUUAAUUUCUAGUUUUUUGGCAUAUGAUUUAAACAUAUGUUUUAUGUUAGGUGUCUUUAGUUGGUUUUUGUUAUUUUGUGUCUUUAUUUGCCCAGAGGUAGAUCUUCUAUGACAUGUCAGCACUUUUUUUUCUUUUUCUUUUUCUGAAAUUCUUUUUAGUUUAAAAGAAUUUCUAGUGUUUUGGCAACAAUUCAUGCACAAAAAUAAGGUACGUCAACUUUUGUCAAGAGGAACAAAUCUUGGUAAUAUUAAUGUUGUAUUUAGAGUGGGCUUACUCUCCUUCCGCAAGCCAACAUAACAUUGAAUUAUUGGUGGGAUGCCUCGUUAAUAGUUGUUAUUUUAUUAAAUGAAAUGCCCACACCUACACUUGAGGGUCUGUC